GACACGACUCUCGGCAAUGGAUAUCUCGGCUCUCGCAUCGAUGAAGAGCGCAGCGAAAUGCGAUACUUG
rnacentral:rRNA from 76 species